rnacentral:rRNA from 1 species
GUGGGGAAUUUUGGACAAUGGGCGCAAGCCUGAUCCAGCAAUGCCGCGUGCAGGAAGAAGGCCUUCGGGUUGUAAACUGCUUUUGUACGGAACGAAACGGUCCGGGUUAAUACCCUGGGCUAAUGACGGUACCGUAAGAAUAAGCACCGGCUAACUACGUGCCAGCAGCCGCGGUAAUACGUAGGGUGCAAGCGUUAAUCGGAAUUACUGGGCGUAAAGCGUGCACAGGCGGUUUUGUAAGACAGGCGUGAAAUCCCCGGGCUCAACCUGGGAAUUGCGCUUGUGACUGCAAGGCUGGAGUGCGGCAGAGGGGGAUGGAAUUCCGCGUGUAGCAGUGAAAUGCGUAGAUAUGCGGAGGAACACCGAUGGCGAAGGCAAUCCCCUGGGCCUGCACUGACGCUCAUGCACGAAAGCGUGGGGAGCAAACAGGAUUAGAUACCCGUGUAGUCC